GAAAUGCGAUAAGUAAUGUGAAUUGCAGAAUUCAGUGAAUCGUCGAGUCUUUGAACGCACAUUGCGCCCCCUGGUAUUCCGGGGGGCAUGCCUGUCCGAGCGUCAUUGCUGCCCUCAAGCACGGCUUGUGUGUUGGGCCCCCGUCCCCCUCUCCCGGGGGACGGGCCCGAAAGGCAGCGGCGGCACCGCGUCCGGUCCUCGGGCGUAUGGGGCUUUGUCACCUGCUCUGUAGGCCCGGCCGGCGCCAGCCGACACCCAACUUUAUUUUUCUAAGGUUGACCUCGGAUCAGGUAGGGAUACCCGCUGAACUUAA
rnacentral:misc_RNA from 1 species